AUGUGCCUGCUUGGGUCUUAUGCCUACUUCGACAAGCAGGUUCUUUAUCAAGGAAAAAAUCUUUGUGGGAGGAAGUCUUUAGUAAACCAGCAAAGAGAUAUGCUAGUCUUGGGAGCAUGCUUUCCCAGGAGAUGCUGCGGAAGUUGGAAAGACUUCCAGGUGCUUGCAGAGUGCAUCCUAACUGUGUCUCCAUUAUGGCAGGCCUCCUUUCUCCCACCAGCUCUAAGCCCACGUCCCCACCCCAACCAAUCUGUACUAUCCUCCAAGGACUGUACUGUGUUUAAUUCAACAUUUACAAUCCUUACUGUUCUCCCCCUCCAGCCACUGAAAUUUAUUGGUCCAGCUACAUGGUACAUUUUGCAGUUUCCCAAAUAGACCCCACAUUUUCUUCAUAGACCUUGUCAGGGCUGCUUCUUCUGCCUAAAAUAAUCCUCCUGCCUUCNNNNNNNNNNUCCAUCUGCUUUAUUGGCUAAUUCAUUCUUACUCUUCAAAACUCAGCCACACUCAGCCACAGACCAGGCCAUGGCAUUUUCACUACUGUGGCCCAGGUUCAAUCCCUGGUUGGGGAGCUAAGAUCCAGCAAGUCAAGAGGCAUGGACAAAAAAUUAAAAAUUGGUAAAUAAAUACAGGGUGUAAAUAUAGAGUGGAAAAUCCGUUUAAAAGGACUACAACUAGUCACUUUGUGCUUGCUCAUCCUGUCUCUUCAGUGCCAUGGAUGCCUUGCUUUAGGAAAAAUGAAAUGUUUCUGAAUGGUAUAUGUCUCUUCUCCCUUUUCUUAAAAAAAUCUCAUCAGAAAUGAUACNNNNNNNNNNNNNNNNNNNNNNNNNNNNNNNNNNNNNNNNNNNNNNNNNNNNNNNNNNNNNNNNNNNNNNNNNNNNNNNNNNNNNNNNNNNNNNNNNNNCUCCCUUUUCUUAAAAAAAUCUCAUCAGAAAUGAUACGGUGUUUCUGGAUUUGCCUCAAAAUAAUGUGGGUUUGAGAAGGGAGAUGGUGGAUUAUCUAUGAAAGAAGUCUGCUCAUGAAUGGACUAUUGUUGAAUCUGGGUAAUGAAUACCCUGGAGUUUAUGAAACUUUUUUGCUUUUGUUUAUUCAUAAUAAAAAAUACAAAAUAAAUCCUCAUGGAGAAUAUGAGUUCUAAGUAGCUUACCAAGCUGAAUGAUACACUAACUGCAUAUGUAUACAUGUCUUAAUGUGGCGGAUACUUGGCAAGGCAUCACAUAUUUACUGUGAUCAGGGUAACUGUCCCUGUGUUUCCUGCUUCCUCCUGAGUCUGAAUCCUGGUUGUCCUGAACCCUGGCUCAGGUCAUGGAUGAUUUAUUCUGGAGGAGAUGAUAUCACAACUGAGAAGUGGAUGUAGAUAUCUUCUCUGAGAGGAUUCCACAAAGGGCCUCUUACAUACCAAUUAUCCACCAAAGAUGCGGACACUUACCCCGCUAUCUCUGUUAUAUCAGUCCAUUCAUCUACUAUCCCAAGACAGGAAAUUCAAUGCACAGAGAGGUUAAGUAUCUUGUUCAAUAUCACACAGCAAGUUAGGGGUAAACUGAAGAUCUGAACCUCAUGGUGUCAGACCUCAAAGUCAGUUCAUUUACUCAUUCAGGAGUGUCUGAGUCAACCCUAUGCUGCCUUGCUUUCCACACCCACUCCAUUUGUGCUCCCAUCUUCCUGUUCUCGGCUACUGGCUUUAGGGACAACGUUCUCACUCCCUUUCUCCCAUUUUAGAGGUUAACUUUUUCUCUCUCUUGUGUACCUGAAGCCUGGAUUCCCUUAGGCUAAAUCUGAUCCUCUAACUCCUCAGAUAUACUGUUUUUGGCUCCAGGGUCUUUCAAGUUGCCCAUUAUGAGAUGCGGUGAUAUGUUGGCAAAGGAAAAAGAAGAAAGGGAGGCAGAUGUAACAGCGGCUGUCUUGAGAUGACUGCUGCCCUCUCCUCUUUCAGGAGGCAGCUCAUCAAAGAGGCAGUGAAGGCUCCUGACAGUAACGCAUGACAGGGCGGAUCCAUGCUUGCAAAUGCCGAGCACUUUGUAUCAGUUUUCUUACUUAACUCUUAGAACCGCCCAGUGGGAUAGGCACUAUUAUCUCCUUCUUACAGAUGAGGAACUGAGACUGAUAGAAAUUGAGGACUUGCCUCAGGGUACAUUGCUAGGGCGGCAGGCCAGGGAUUGGCACCCGGCCUUCUGUGUACCACUGCACAAAUAGGGGCACCACUUUCUUCCUUUAUUUUUGGCUGUGCUGGGUUUUCACUGGUGCUCAAGCUUUCUCUAGUUGUGAGCAGAGGCCACUCCCGGGCUGUGGUGUGAGGGCUUCUCAUUGCGGGGACUUCUCUUGUUGGGGAGCAUGGGCUCUAGGGCAGGAGGAC
ensembl:lncRNA